GGGGUUGCUGUAGCUCAGCGGUAGAGCAUCUGCUUUUCAUGUAGAAGGUCUUGGGUUCAAUCCUGGCAGCUCCA